UUUUCGCAGGCAGUGAAACAAGCAGCGAUGUUGGACUCGGUUCAGUUCAGAAAGAAGUUGUUUGUGUAGAAGAGGAUGAUAAUGUGCACCGGAGUACCAAUUCAGCCAUGAGAUGCAUGGGAUGUCUUUCACAACAUAGCAGUCCAGCUAUAGGCAUAACAGAGCAUUCACAAUCACAGGUGAUACAUCAAGAGCAAGCAGUUAUUUAUCGCAGAAUACACCAAACAUUAGUUCCACUGAAGAAGCAGAAAUUGAAGAACAAAGGUAGCGAUAACCAAUGGGUUCUACCUGCAUCCUGGUCUGGAGCAUAACCUCCUGUAGGUGGAGUGCAGCUGACUGCUGGAGUACAAUUGAGAUCCAACAAAGGUGGAGUGCAAUUGAGGUCGAACAUAAUUGCUGCCAUGGUGUACUCCAUUGA